UAGGCUUUACAGCUCCUGCAUUGUACACACUGUGUGUAUCAUUUCUAUAUGCACAGCGCAUACAAUGUGGAUGUUGUAUUGCCCA
ensembl:miRNA mir460 microRNA 460